GAGGAAAGAGGGAGGAGGGAAGAAUACAGGCAAGUCGAGCGAACAGACGAGGAGCUUGCUCCUCUGACGUUAGCGGCGGACGGGUGAGUAACACGUGGAUAACCUACCUAUAAGACUGGGAUAACUUCGGGAAACCGGAGCUAAUACCGGAUAAUAUAUUGAACCGCAUGGUUCAAUAGUGAAAGACGGUUUUGCUGUCACUUAUAGAUGGUUCCGCGCCGCAUUAGCUAGUUGGUAAGGUAACGGCUUACCAAGGCAACGAUGCGUAGCCGACCUGAGAGGGUGAUCGGCCACACUGGAACUGAGACACGGUCCAGACUCCUACGGGAGGCAGCAGUAGGGAAUCUUCCGCAAUGGGCGAAAGCUUGACGGAGCAACGCCGCGUGAGUGAUGAAGGUCUUCGGAUCGUAAAACUCUGUUAUUAGGGAAGAACAAAUGUGUAAGUAACUAUGCACGUCUUGACGGUACCUAAUCAGAAAGCCACGGCUCACUACGUC
rnacentral:rRNA from 1 species